GUUGAAGAACGCAGCGAAAUGCGAUAAGUAAUGUGAAUUGCAGAAUUCAGUGAAUCAUCGAAUCUUUGAACGCACAUUGCGCCCGCCAGUAUUCUGGCGGGCAUGCCUGUCUGAGCGUCAUUUCAACCCUCAUGCCCCUAGGGCGUGGUGUUGGGGAUCGGCCAAAGCCCGCGAGGGACGGCCGGCCCCUAAAUCUAGUGGCGGACCCGUCGUGGCCUCCUCUGCGAAGUAGUGAUAUUCCGCAUCGGAGAGCGACGAGCCCCUGCCGUUAAACCCCCAACUUUCCAAGGUUGACCUCAGAUCAGGUAGGAAUACCCGCUGAACUUAAGCAUAUCAAUAAGCGGAGGA
rnacentral:misc_RNA from 1 species